GUCUGUGGCCAUGCCACCCUGAACAAGCCCGAUUCCAUCUGAUCUUGGAAGCUAAGCAGGGUCAGGCCUGGUUAGUACUUGGAUGGAAGACCACCUAGGAAGACCAGAUGCUGUAGGCA
rnacentral:rRNA from 1 species